AAAGGAGUAUGACAGCCUGUCACAUAAUAGACAAGGUCAUUGCACACUGCACAGCACUCAAACUAGAAACUGGAAAAAAAAAAUUAUAACAAGGAAGAAAUGUUGUGGAGAAAAAAGGAAAAUAUAGAUGCCUUUAAAUCCUAUGCAUAAAUUUUAUCUGCAGGCCAUAACAUUACAACAUGGGUUGGGGAUACAAAAAGACACAUGAAAGGCCUAUA
rnacentral:misc_RNA from 1 species